AAAAGAAUAAAAAAUAUUAAUUAAUAUAUUCUAUGGCUAGAUUUUUAUUUCAUUGUUACCCAGUCUUCAUUUCUUCCAACCCAUCAUCCAUGCCGAUUCCUCUCUGUUAUGGACGACGAUAAUAAUCAACCCAAACCCAAGUCCAAAACAACUCUCUUUCUGGGUUGUUUUGGAUUUUCUGGCAAACAAAAAGUUUCCCGGAAAAAACCUGAAAAAAUUGUACUAUCUGAUCACAAGCAUAAGUGGUUUUCUCGAUCAAGAACGUUUCUCUUAAAACAAUCAGGCACCAAAACCGUUCCAGUCGAGUACUCUGCUAUAUCUGAGAAACUACAGACUACGUUAAAGAAGUCAUCAUCAAAACCCAAGAGGAAGAACUCCUCCUCCGAUCAUGAUAUCCCCUCAAAACGUAAAACUCCGGCCUCCCAAGAUAAGAUUCCGGCAACUAAUCCUAAAGUUGAUACUACUUCAGAUCAAGCUUCCGAAGACAGUCCCCACAAGACAAACCACAGUUCUGAACAGAACAUCAUCCUUG
rnacentral:misc_RNA from 1 species